UACAGAGGGUGCGAGCGUUGUUCGGAAUCACUGGGCGUAAAGCGCACGUAGGCGGAUUGUUAAGUCAGGGGUGAAAUCCUGGAGCUCAACUCCAGAACUGCCUUUGAUACUGGCGAUCUCGAGUCCGGGAGAGGUGAGUGGAACUGCGAGUGUAGAGGUGAAAUUCGUAGAUAUUCGCAAGAACACCAGUGGCGAAGGCGGCUCACUGGCCCGGUACUGACGCUGAGGUGCGAAAGCGUGGGGAGCAACAGG
rnacentral:rRNA from 1 species